rnacentral:rRNA from 1 species
AUUGAACGCUGGCGGCAGGCUUAACACAUGCAAGUCGAGCGAGCGGCGGACGGGUGAGUAAUGUUUGGGGACUGCCCGUUAGGGGGGGAGAACACCUGGAAACGGUGGCUAAAACCCCAAAUUAUCGAUGAACCCAUAUGGGAUUAGCUAGUAGGUGUGGUAUUGGCUCACCUAGGCGACGAUCCCUAGCUGGUCUGAGAGGAUGAUCAGCCACACUGGGACGGAGACACGGCCCAGACUCCUACGGAGGCAGCAGUGGGGAAUAUUGCGCAAUGGGCGCAAGCCUGAUGCAGCCAUGCCGCGUGUAUGAAGAAGGCCCUAGGGUUGUAAAGUACUUUCAGUCGGGAGGCGUUACCGACAGAAGAAGCACCGGCUAACUCCGUGCCAGCAGCCGCGGUAAUAC